ACGGGAGGCAGCAGUGGGGAAUAUUGCACAAUGGGGGAAACCCUGAUGCAGCGACGCCGCGUGAACGAUGAAGUAUUUCGGUAUGUAAAGUUCUAUCAGCAGGGAAGAUAAUGACGGUACCUGACUAAGAAGCACCGGCUAAAUACGUGCCAGCAGCCGCGGUAAUACGUAUGGUGCGAGCGUUAUCCGGAUUUACUGGGUGUAGAGGGUGCGUAGGUGGCAUGGCAAGUCUGAAGUGAAAUGCGGGGGCUCAACCCCUGAACUGCUUUGGAAACUGUCAAGCUUGAGUACAGGAGAGGAAAGCGGAAUUCCUAGUGUAGCGGUGAAAUGCGUAGAUAUUAGGAGGAACACCAGUGGCGAAGGCGGCUUUCUGGACUGUAACUGACACUGAGGCACGAAAGCGUGGGGAGCGAACAGGAUUAGAUACCCUGGUA
rnacentral:rRNA from 1 species